GCCGAAGUGGCGGAAUUGGCAGACGCGCUGGCUUCAGGAGUCAGUGGGCUCACGCCUGUGGGGGUUCAAAUCCCCCCUUCGGCA
rnacentral:tRNA from 2 species